AUCGGCUGCAGCCGUUAAAGGCCCCCCUUCUCCCUCCCCCACCCCCAGGUCCCCUAGCGGGCGGGGUGGGAGCGGCCGUUGGAGGUGGCAGAGAGAGGGGGGGGCGGAUUAACCCCCUCGUUCCCGUGACAGCGGCGGCGUAGUGGAUUUUCUCUCUCUCCCCCUCCCCUGCUGAGGCGGUGCUGGGGAAGCGAGAGAGCCGGGCCGGCCAGACGCCCAGUGCAUUGUGGGACUGACUGUUUUGGGCUUAGGAAAAGGGGGAGGGGAGGGGAGGAGGAGGGGAGGGAGUCCCGUUCGCGGGCGAGCGAGAGAGCGAACGAGAAAGAAGCAAAGGAAACGGUCUCCAGAUGUAACAUCAGUUUUGGCUCAAUGGGCAGAGAGACAGAGUUGCUGUGGUCCGUCAGGAUUCCAUCUCUCUCCCCAGGCUAAUUACCAGAAAAAGAAACCUACAUAUUUUCUAAAGGAGAAGAAAAGCUGUGGAUACGUACUGUGUGAGAAUCAUGUCUGUUCGGGAAUCCUUUAAUCCAGAAAGCUAUGAACUUGACAAGAAUUUUCGGCUUACCCGAUUCACUGAACUUAAAGGAACUGGCUGUAAAGUGCCUCAAGACGUCUUACAGAAAUUGCUUGAAUCCCUGCAAGAAAAUCACUUCCAAGAAGAUGAACAAUUUUUGGGAGCUGUUAUGCCAAGACUGGGAAUUGGAAUGGACACAUGUGUUAUUCCUUUAAGACAUGGAGGCCUUUCUUUGGUCCAGACAACAGAUUACAUUUAUCCCAUUGUAGAUGAUCCUUACAUGAUGGGACGCAUAGCCUGUGCUAAUGUUCUCAGUGAUCUUUAUGCUAUGGGUGUUACAGAAUGUGACAACAUGUUGAUGCUUCUCGGAAUCAGUAAUAAAAUGACAGACUGGGAAAGAGACAAAGUGAUGCCUCUCAUUAUCCAGGGUUUCAAAGAUGCUGCAGAAGAGGCAGGAACGUCGGUGACUGGUGGUCAAACGGUUUUAAACCCUUGGAUUGUUUUAGGAGGGGUAGCCACAACAGUCUGUCAGCCUAAUGAGUUUAUAAUGCCAGACAAUGCUGUACCAGGAGAUGUGCUUGUAUUAACUAAGCCCUUGGGAACACAAGUGGCUGUAGCUGUUCACCAAUGGUUAGAUAUUCCAGAAAAAUGGAACAAAAUAAAGUUGGUUGUUACACAAGAAGAUGUGGAACUAGCAUAUCAAGAAGCAAUGAUGAAUAUGGCAAGACUCAACAGAACAGCUGCAGGUCUCAUGCACACGUUCAAUGCACAUGCAGCCACAGACAUCACAGGCUUUGGAAUCCUGGGACAUGCACAAAAUCUAGCCAAGCAGCAGCGCAAUGAGGUGUCUUUUGUUAUACAUAACCUUCCUGUUCUUGCCAAAAUGGCUGCAGUUAGCAAGGCAUGUGGCAAUAUGUUUGGUCUCAUGCAUGGGACCUGUCCUGAAACUUCAGGAGGCCUCCUUAUCUGUUUACCGCGUGAACAGGCAGCACGUUUCUGCGCUGAAAUAAAGUCUCCAAAAUAUGGCGAAGGCCACCAAGCAUGGAUUAUUGGGAUUGUAGAGAAAGGCAAUCGCACUGCCAGAAUUAUAGACAAACCUCGAAUCAUUGAAGUUGCACCACAAGUGGCCACUCAGAAUGUGAACCCAACACCUGGUGCAACUUCUUAAUCUAGAUGAAAUAGCUUUUUUUUUUUUUUUAAUAUAUCUUUUCCUUUAUCAUCUUACAGCCUAAAGAACUGUAUAAAGAGAAAAAGAAACACAUUGUGUCUGCAAAUCUGGUGGCCUUAGGACACCAUCUCGACGCCGGUUGCCUCGAAGCCAACAAAGCACCAUGGUUCUGACUCCUUCGACUCCACCAAGCAAAUGCCAGAAGACUAUUGAUUUCACAUGUACUCCAUCUCCUUCGGUACGUGCGCCCUCGACACUGUGCCGGUCUUCAACAUUGUAACCGACCCUCAACGCCUCAGCAUUGACAGCAAUCCAUCAUCUCCAAUCUUUCUGCCCGUCAACGCCGAUGGUCUUAACAUCAAGGGCUUGCUCCCUGUCUCCGGCCCCUACACCGGUUUCAUCAUCAGUGCCAUUGACACAGAGUGCCUGGAGUGCUGUUCCUCCCGCAUCGACUCUCCACACACCGGUGAUCUCCAUGUUGUCUCAGGUGUCUCCUCGGUGCCAAAUACCUUUACGGACCUUCGAUGUCGACAAGAAUGAAGUGAAUAAUAAUGCUAUUGUAGCUCUCGACCCUUCAACAGAGCAGACCUUGUUCUCCAUUUUGGACUCUACCUCUAGUACGCCUUCGACUUCCACGUUUAAGGGUUUCCUUCUCACAGAUGUCAAGGCGAGUACCACUCCUGUGCCAGCCCCACCUUUGGACUUCACUUUGUCAGCUGGCCACUUACAUGACACUCCUGCAUGCACACCUGUGGCUUCACACAUGUGCCCCCUACUCGUUGAACUUGGUCCCUGCUUGGAUUCGUCCGAGUAGAGUGCUCUGUAGUUAAACCUGGUUACACCUUAUCAGACAGGGAAGCCUAUUCCCCUAGGCGUCAUUUGCCCCCUUGGAGCCACCAGGAGCGCAUCCCUCUUAGGGACCGUAGUGAUCAUUGGGACUUGGAAGAGCUCUCAUCAGACUACAGGCAAGAUCGGGCCUGGAACUAUCGUGAGUACGCCUACUCGGAUUGGUGCUUAGUGUCUGAGCACCAUUCUCCCUCUGGGUCAUAUGGUCGAUACCAGGUUGACUAUAGAUCGGACUAUUCUGACUAUGGUAGGCCUUGAUAUGGGUCUCGUUAUAUGGAGAAAAACUCCUUCCAUGUUUGUUCUGUACGAUGGGCCUCGUAAAGGUUUCCGGUUUCGGUGUAGUCCAUGUCUAGAUGGAUAGUUUCCACAAUUGAACUCGGUUAUCAUUUGGCUCAUAAGCAGUUGCCUGCAACCAUUAAGACACACUCAGUUAGGUCCAUUGUGGCCUCUGUGGCCUUUGAUCAUGCGGUCCCGUUGGAUGCUAUAUGUCAGGCAACUACCUGGGCUUUGCCUCAUUUGUUUAUCCAUCAUUAUGCUAUUGAUGCCAGAGCACAGAAUGAUGCUUUAUUUGGCAGGAGUGUCCUGCAGUCCACUUUCAGUUGAUGUAUUUGUUUCAAUAAAUGAUUCUGGCCGACUA